AUGAUGAUUAUCCCUACAUGCAUAACAUAUUAUAAAGAGAUCUUCCUACGUGCCCCUUUUGUAAGGAUGCAUGCUGACGUGUGCACAUCAUUUCUAGCUUGUUUUGGUGCAUCUUUUAUCCUGCUUCAGCUGGUUAGCCUGAAUCCCCUUUUCUCCUGUUUCAGUUGGUUAGCAACCACUAUUGUUCAGGAAUUUUUAGUGGCGCACAUCUUGGUCUGGCGAGCCGAUGACCGGACAUCACUUGUCAAGGAAGCAAAAAGGACUACACUCACAAGGAACCAUGAAGCCAACGAUCCACGUCAACUAGAUGUUUUAGCUUUCAUUUUGUACAACUGA
rnacentral:rRNA from 1 species